rnacentral:ncRNA from 1 species
UACUUGGUUGAUCCCGCCAGUAGUCAUAUGCUUGUCUCAAAGAUUAAGCCAUGCAUGUCUAAGUAUGAAAUAAUUCAGACUGUGAAACUGCGGAUGGCUCAUUAAAUCAGUUAUAGUUUCUUUGAUGGCACCCCACUACUCGGAUAACUCAUUAAAUCAGUUAUAGUUUCUUUGAUGGCACCCCACUACUCGGAUAACCAUAGUAAUUCUAGAGCUAAUACGUGCACCAAGUCCCGACUCUUUGGAAGGGAUGCAUUUAUUAGAUAAAAGGUCGGCGUGGGCUUGCUCGCUUCUCCGGUGAAUCAUGAUAACUCGACGGAUCGCACAGCCCUUGUGUUGGUGAUGCUUCAUUCAAAUUUAUUCCCUAUCAACUUUCGAUGGUAGGAUAGAGGCCUACCAUGGUGGUGACAGGUGACGGAGAAUUAGGGUUCGAUUCCAUAGAGGGAGCCUGAGAAAGGGCUACCACAUCCAAGGAAGGCAGUAGGCGCGCAAAUUACCCAAUCCUGACAUGGGGAGGUAGUGAUAAUAAAUAACAAUACUUGGCUCAUCGAGUCUGGUAAUUGGAAUGAGUACAAUCUAAAUCCCUUAACGAGGAUCCAUUGGAGGGGAAGUUUGGUGCCAGCAGCCGCGGUAAUUCUAGCUCCAAUAGCGUAUAUUUAAGUUGUUGCAGUUAAAAAGCUCGUAGUUGGAUCUUGGGUCGUAAAGGUCAGUCCGCCUACUCGGUGUGCACUUGCCCUUCCGUCCCUUUUGCUGGUGGCGUGCUCCUGGCCUUAAUUGGCUGGGUUGUGGUUCCGACGUUGUUACUUUGAAAAAAUUAGAGUGCUCAAAGCAAGCUUAUGCUCUGAAUACAUUGGCAUGGAAUAACGCGAUAGGAGUCUGGUCCUAUUGUGUUGGCCUUCGGGA